GAUGAACGCUUUAAAGAGGCCUAACACAUGCAAGCCGAGCGGUAUUGUUUCUUCGGAAAUGAGAGAGCGGCGUACGGGUGCGGCUUACGUGUGCAACCUGCCUUUAUCUGGGGGAUAGCCUUUCGAAAGGAAGAUUAAUACUCCAUAAUAUAUUGAACGGCAUCGUUUAAUAUUGAAAGCUCCGGCGGAUAGGGAUGGGCACGCGCAAGAUUAGCUAGUUGGUGAGGUAACGGCUCACCAAGGCGAUGAUCUUUAGGGGGCCUGAGAGGGUGAUCCCCCACACUGGUACUGAGACACGGACCAGACUCCUACGGGAGGCAGCAGUGAGGAAUAUUGGUCGAUGGGUGCAAGCCUGAACCAGCCAUCCCGCGUGAAGGACGACUGCCCUAUGGGUUGUAAACUUCUUUUGUAUAGGGAUAAACCUACCCUCGUGAGGGUAGCUGAAGGUACUAUACGAAUAAGCACCGGCUAACUCCGUGCCAGCAGCCGCGGUAAUACGGAGGGUGCAAGCGUUAUCCGGAAUUAUUGGGUUUAGAGGGUCCGUAGGCGGACUUAUAAGUCAGUGGUGAAAGCCUGUCGCUUAACGAUAGAACUGCCAUUGAUACUGUAAGUCUUGAGUAUUUUUGAGGUAGCUGGAAUAAGUAGUGUAGCGGUGAAAUGCAUAGAUAUUACUUAGAACACCAAUUGCGAAGGCAGGUUACCAAGAUAUAACUGACGCUGAGGGACGAAAGCGUGGGGAGCGAACAGGAUUAGAUACCCUGGUAGUCCACGCCGUAAACGAUGCUAACUCGUUUUUGGGCUUUAGGGUUCAGAGACCAAGCGAAAGUGAUAAGUUAGCCACCUGGGGAGUACGCUCGCAAGAGUGAAACUCAAAGGAACUGACGGGGGCCCGCACAAGCGGUGGAUUAUGUGGUUUAAUUCGAUGAUACGCGAGGAACCUUACCAAGACUUAAAUGGGAAUUGACAGCUUUAGAAAUAGAGCUUUCUUCGGACAAUUUUCAAGGUGCUGCAUGGUUGUCGUCAGCUCGUGCCGUGAGGUGUUAGGUUAAGUCCUGCAACGAGCGCAACCCCUGUCACUAGUUGCCAUCAUUCAGUUGGGGACUCUAGUGAGACUGCCUACGCAAGUAGAGAGGAAGGUGGGGAUGACGUCAAAUCAUCACGGCCCUUACGUCUUGGGCCACACACGUAAUACAAUGGCCGGUACAGAGGGCAGCUACACAGCGAUGUGACGCAAAUCUCGAAAGCCGGUCUCAGUUCCGAUUGGAGUCCGCAACUCGACUCUAUGAAGCUGGAAUCGCUAGUAAUCGCGCAUCAGCCAGGGCGCCGGUGAAUACGUUCCCGGGGCCU
rnacentral:rRNA from 1 species